CAGUCGCCGCGGUAAUACGUAGGUCCCGAGCGUUGUCCGGAUUUAUUGGGCGUAAAGCGAGCGCAGGCGGUUAGAUAAGUCUGAAGUUAAAGGCUGUGGCUUAACCAUAGUACGCUUUGGAAACUGUUUAACUUGAGUGCAGAAGGGGAGAGUGGAAUUCCAUGUGUAGCGGUGAAAUGCGUAGAUAUAUGGAGGAACACCGGUGGCGAAAGCGGCUCUCUGGUCUGUAACUGACGCUGAGGCUCGAAAGCGUGGGGAGCGAACAGGAUUAGAUACCCCAGUAGUCCCUGUCUCUUAUACA
rnacentral:rRNA from 1 species